CCCAGGGGCAAGGGGAACAGUCAGUCUUGGGCAUGCUCAGUAGUGCUCAUGGCUGGGAAGGCCUCUGACCCUUGACCCCAGCUUCUCCCAGGUUAGGCGGGAAAACAGGUUUCUUUGUUCUCCCCUGGUCAAGAGAAACCACACCUAUGCCUUGUCAUUGACCAAUGAGGGUCAUCCCUAUGUACUACGUAGCAAAUGGUAUUUAUGGCCCAGCAAGCUCCGCCUCGCUCUCUCUCCCCCUCUUUCCUCUUUCAGGCUAGGCGAUGGCUGUCCUUGCAGGAGCUUGGCCUCUGGCCAAGCUCCAUCUUUAAUCUUUCUCCUCAAUAAACGACUCCUCUUUGCAUACCAUGUGAGAGCUGUCGGUACCUUCUUUGUCGCUUCCCCUUUCCUUCUCUCUCUCCCCCUCCCCUCUCAGGGGUCGUAAGGGGCUGGUCCCCAGCAUCUGGCGCUCCAACGUGGGGCCCGAGCGACCACCGGACAACUGAGGAAAAGUUCGGCGCCGAAACCGAGGCUACAGUAACGGGUAAGGAUCGGACGAUCCCGAGGAAUGGUAAGUUGUCCCAUUCAUAUCUCCCUCUCAAACCCCAUUGUGUGAAUGGUUGAAUGUAUGUGUGUUUUGAUGGCAACGGAAUAACAAUCCCCUUAUAUAUACGAAGUGCAGUUUCCCUCCCCCACCUGGGUCUGCUAGUCGGAGGCCUCCUCUCUCGGACCUGGAUCUCCGGAGGUUAAGAAACACCUGAGGAGCGGUCUGAGGGGGAGGGGAAGGAAAAAGAAAAUUUGACCCAGGGAAACCCUCACUAGGGGCGAUUGAGAACUCGAAAAAUCUCACUCUGAAACAAACAGUUGUUAGAGCCUAGUGAAUUUCAAAAGGAGCAACUGGGAAAAGAAAAAGCAGGAGUUAAGAUUUCAUCAGGAAAGUGCAAAGUCAAAUUUAUGGCCUCCUAAAACAAAGGCUCCUAGAGCCAGGCUGCUAUUCAUAUGCAAAAGCAGGAAACGCAAGCAGACCAGAAGCAAGGAGCAAGCUAAUCUUCACAGGCAAAUUCCUGGGAUGCUUUUAAAAGGCUUAUCAGGAAGUAACUGCUUUGACUCAAAGCAGGACACUUAAAGGCCUGAAUUAGGUUAAAUUCAGAACAGCCUAGGUUGUAAAAAGAUAUUGCCAUUCUGUAACCAAAGGCAGAAGAUUUUUUUUUAAAAAGGGCAAGCCUCUACACUCAUUUAGCAUUUGAAAAAAGGUCCUAGGAAUUCUUUUGUUUGAGGUCCAGCCAGGUAAAGGCAGGCUUUACCUGGGUGCUGGGAAUUUUAAUUUUAAUUUAGUUUUAAUUCGGGUUGGAUAGGCAAAAUUAUAAAGGAAUGUCUGCUUAUAUUUUUUGAUAAAGGAAGUUAAAAAAGGAGAAUUAAAUAUCUUUCUCUGACUUUUGUUAUAUGCCACAGAAUAUCAGGACUAGAAAUGUUUUAUCUGUAGAGAAAUUUUGGUAUAAAUCACAAGGUAAUUAAAGUGCAAACAGAAAACUUUUAAGGUUUGGGUUUAAAUCUGAAGCAGCUUGAAUUUUUUUCUCUACUGGCCACAUGGCUUGAGCCACGUGGAAGAUAGCAUCAGAGCAACUGAGGUUCCAAGUUUUUUUUUAUUACAAACGCUGUAUUUGGCUAGAAGAAAAAUUUAAUACUAAGAUAUAAUAAGCAUGAAUUGGACUAUGAUUUAAAGGAAUUCAUGACUUUCUAAUUUUAACCAUGGAGGAAUUAUUAACACUUUUCUAAGCAGGACAUAAAGCAACAGGAUGAAUCUUGAGCAGAGCUUAUUCAAACAGCCUGUAUGCAGUUCAGAAACUUUUUACUGGGCAUAUUACUAUACCUGUAUCCAGAAAGCAAAUGAUUUAUAACUAGAAUAGCUUUUACUAUGGAAAAUUAAGACACAUGCUCAGCAGAGUAAAAGCAUGGUUAGAAGGAUUCAAUCUGUUUACCAGUGGUUAAUUAUUAAAGUUAUCAAGGAAUCUGUUACUCAGUACAGUGAUUUAUUAAGGAUUUGAAAGAGGCACUACUAUCAGGUAUUGAAAUUGCAGAUAUUGAAGCUGAUCAUGAUAUUGAAAAGAGACCUAUGAUAAUAAUGCAAAUUCAAAGGUUACUGGCAUAAUUUGAUUUAUUUCUGCAGUGAAGAUUUGCAGAUUUAGCAGAUGGAAGUAAUGAUUUUAGUCACAGUAUUAAGAUCUUUUCAGUUAUGAAGCUAAGGGCAGUAGUUCAGAAAUAACAACUUCUAUGCAAUUGUUUGAUAAUUCUGUGCAUAUUUUUACAGCAUAAGAUACUGCUAUAAUUUUAAUAACUGCACAAGGUGGAAAUUUUUCAAAAAGCAAAAAUUGUGUGCAGGCAGACAAAGACCUAAGAUCCCAGCACACAUGGGUCAAUUCAUAAGUAAUUUAUAGAAUGAUAUUUUUAUGAUUAUGGGUUUGAAAAAACAAAUAUUUAAGCAUCUAUACAUGCUGUUUUGAACACACAGCUGCUGGCAUUCUCUGCUCUAGCAGAGGGCCAGAUCUAUAGUACAUCUAUAUCCUGAACAAGCAGGUGAUAUCGUUUAUCAAUGCAAACUGCUGUGGAUUAAUUUCACCCCUGAUAAAUAUCCACUGUAUAUUUUGGAGCAAAAGGUGCAUUUCAGCAUGCUCCUGGCACAAAGGUUGAACUGUGAAAAGUGAUGGGAGAUACUUACUCUCCUGGUUUAUGGGUUCAAGCUCAAAUGAAGAAGUGAGCAAAGUGAUUGCAGAUUUUAUAAAUAACUGUGCACUACUGUCUAUUCCAAACAGCUUGGAAUGGCAGGGCUUUUAACAGCAAUGCAAAGGCUAAAUUACAUAGCUCAUGGCUUACAUGCAAGCUAUGGUACAAAGAGCUCAAAGGAAUUCAUGAGCCCCAAGGUUCAAAAACUGAAGGUAUAUAUGUUCUGUCACUCUCUAACUUUCUAAGACCCAAUGAGGUUUUCAUUUGGGGUCGAGGUCUUGUUUAUAUGUUCACAGAUAAUGAAAACAUCUGGUCACCCACGUCAUGCUUCAUGCCAGCUGAUACAGACCAGGAAGAGAAGCAGACGGAAGGUGAUGGCAUCAGCUACCUACAUGCCAGCCACAAUCCAGACUCGCUGGAAGGACACUUCUUUGGUGACCAAUAUCACUCUAGAACAAUGACAUUACACUAUUAGAGACAUUGGCUAUUAGGCCACUGACGGACACUUGUCAUGCUGCAUUUGAGAUGGGGUACCCAGAGCAACAUCAAGUAUGCUAACUCAGAAGGACAAAAUCACACUUGUGUCUGUACAAGACACCAGAUACAUCCCACAUUCCAAAGACUUUGCGAUGGGAUUGAGAUGAAAUAGCUACAAAUUGCCUAGCUACUAAUGUAUACCUUGUAUUUUGUAUAUGAUACUGUCAAAAGAAAUGUAUAUUGUAUGCAUUGUAAAUCCACCACUUGUAUUGUAAGAAAUGCUGUUAUCAACAAGGGUAUAGACCUUGGUAGGACUCUCCAAAGAGUAGGAGAUAGAAAACUUUCAUCCAUAGGAUAGAUCUGAUACCUCUGACAUCAAAAAUGAGGUGCUAAGCAGAAAAUGCUGCACAGACAGGUUUAAUGGACAGAUGACACUGAUGUUACUCUCAGGAAAGGAUGAGAGAUCAAGGAAAAGACACUAGGAAAUCUUUAAUCGGGAACUUGAGUUAUUGUAAGAGAUCAUUGACAUCCAGGCAAAGAUUAUGUUCCUGACAUUACAUUAAGGGCUGACUACCAGAGAUGUAGUUGAGUGUUAAUACCAUUGCUAACCAUUACUCCUGAUACCCUGUUUUUGUGGGUAAUAUCUUAAUAGGAAAAAUGUCUUGCUCUCCUCCAACAGUCCCAGAAUUCAGACGGCCGCUGGAUUCGGGAUCUAUUGGCUUCCCUUUCAUAUACUGGAAGACGUUCUGGUAUAUGGAAGUAAGACCUCAUGAAAAACUGAGGGCUCUAGGUUUGACAAUUUCUGUGGACGCGCAGUCAUUGUCUCUCCUAGGUGGAAAAAAUUAUUAUUGCACAAAAACAUGGAGCAAGGGCAAAGUAUAAUCUAAGUUUUACUGUUUUGGAGUAUGGAUUAAAAACAUGACACAAUAGGCACAGAUAAGCGUGUAGAAAAAGCACAUUGAAUAUUAUACACUGAUAACUAGGAAUGAAAAAGCUAUGUCAAAUGCUGUAGGUACAAGAAACUGUAGAAAUUGUUUCUACAGGGGAAACAACUUAAGCUUCUAUUUACCCAAACAUUGGUUUGGUGGAAUUAAUUUUGCAAAAAUUGGUAAUGGUAUAGGCUUGGUUAUCAUAUUGAUGGGUUUAUUUAUACAAACAGAGAUUUAAAAUAAGGAAGACAUUAGGAAUAUGCAGUCAGAACUUGAAAUAUUACUUCAUUAUCACCAUCAUGGUUAUUUAAGUUACAAUUGAGAAUGUAAAAUGGAUGGGAAUAUUGAUAUUUGUUAAAAAUUGCACUGUGAUUGAUGUAUUGAUGUUUUUGCAAAGCCUGUAAUGGUGCAAAAUUAUGUUCAUAUACAAGGCGAAUUUUGAUCUAUUUAGAUCAGGAAUUAGAAAUCAUUGGGAAAAUAAGUUCUGAUAUUUUACAUUGGCUCAGUUUCAAAGAUACCACAUAGACAGUGAGCCAAGAGAAUCUUGUAUUAAUUUUGGGAUCAGGUUCCCAGGAUCAAUUUUCUGAAAUCAUUUGACAUGUGAUAACAUGAUCCUCCAGAAAUGUUUAGAGAGGAUGUUUUUCUUUGAAGGGAUCUCUCCCAACACACAAACAAAAAGAAAAGGGAGAGGAAUCUUAUAGAGAUCAGUAUUUAUAUUUUUAGAGGACACUUUUUAAAGUCACUCUUGAUUGAUCAACCUUGAUUUUUUUCUUUUACACUAUUAAGGCCAGAAUUUUUGAGUAUAAAGAAAGUACUGUUAAUGCUCUGAUCCAGAAUUAUGAAGGUGCAAAGAUUUCUAGAAUUACAGUCACCUAACAGUCGGUGAACAUGAGAACAUGACAGCAAUUGUUAAUUUUCAGAUGACCAUACUGGAGAGUGAUGUCUGAUUGCAUGUAAGGGGAAUCAUAAUGAAUCUUUCAUUAUGGACCAGACAGCCUCAGCCACGGUUACAUUUUCCAUGUGAAAUGGAUGUUGGAGGUUGGGAAAUGCAGAGACAUGGCGUACUGACACCCUCAGUUGCUGGAUGUCCUGGCAUCGAGCUACCAACCAGUUUCCUAUGUGGCAGGCAUCUGGCAGUGAGCACGGAAAGAUCCCCAAGAUGCAGUAUCAGGAUAAGAGAAAGGAAGGACUUAUCCUUCAUCUCCAGGGAUAGUAUUUUGCUAACUGUUGAAAAGGCUGACAACUUCUGAUAGUCCAGACUGUGAAUGGUGGCAUGUUUGGUUAUUGCACCUGUCAUGUGAACCAUGGAGUUCUACCUCAUUAGAUCAGGAUCAGUAGCGUGGAAAUUAUUUUCUUAACAUUUUUAUAUCUACUAAGACUGUUGCAUUGAUCUUGAAAUGCAGACAGGCAGAUAGAAAGAUCAGUUUGGGAAUUUUUAAGAUUGAUCACUGAAUCAGUUUAUGCUGAUGUUCAUUCUUGAUUGGGAUAUCUAAGUUAUACAAUCAGGAUAGGUUUUUCAUCUCUGUAUCAGAAUAUGAUUAUGCACCAGAGUGUUUGUAUUUGUUAAGGCUGUAAUGUUGUUACAUUUUGAUAUUACACUAUUCAUUUGUGUGUAAAACAAAAAGGGGGAGAUGUAGCAGCCCAGGGGCAAGGGGAACAGUCAGUCUUGGGCAUGCUCAGUAGUGCUCAUGGCUGGGAAAGCCUCUGACCCUUGACCCCAGCUUCUCCCAGGUUAGGCGGGAAAACAGGUUUCUUUGUUCUCCCCUGGUCAAGAGAAACCACACCUAUGCCUUGUCAUUGACCAAUGAGGGUCAUCCCUAUGUACUACGUAGCAAAUGGUAUUUAUGGCCCAGCAAGCUCCGCCUCGCUCUCUCUCCCCCUCUUUCCUCUUUCAGGCUAGGCGAUGGCUGUCCUUGCAGGAGCUUGGCCUCUGGCCAAGCUCCAUCUUUAAUCUUUCUCCUCAAUAAACGACUCCUCUUUGCAUACCA